rnacentral:lncRNA from 1 species
AACCCCACUAAAGAAAUCAAGUAGGAUUUCUCACUUACUAUAGAUGAAGGCUAUGGUAUCCGAUAAAAUAGUGAAAGACAUAAUUAGAGAGAAGACCCUAUCUACUUAUGCAUGUCAAAUAUGAGUGCUCUACUUAUACUAUUAUUCUUAAUUCAUGUAGAUUUAAUUUUGUAUUAUAGCAACUUUACUCUCACUGAGUGAC